rnacentral:rRNA from 2 species
UCGCCUGUUUAUCAAAAACAUCGCCUCCUGCAACACAACCAAGUAUAGGAGGUCCAGCCUGCCCAGUGACUACAAGUUUAACGGCCGCGGUAUUUUGACCGUGCAAAGGUAGCGCAAUCACUUGUCUUUUAAAUAGAGACCUGUAUGAAUGGCUAGACGAGGGCUUAGCUGUCUCCCCCUUCCAGUCAGUGAAAUUGAUCUAUCCGUGCAGAAGCGGGUAUAAUAAUACAAGACGAGAAGACCCUUUGGAGCUUAAGGUACAAAACUCAACCACGUAAAGCAACUGAAUGAAAAGGAGAAACUUUGUGGGAAAUGAAAUUUUACCUUCGGUUGGGGCGACCACGGAGGAAAGCAAAGCCUCCAAGUGGACUGGGAUUAGACCCCCUAAAACCAAGAGAGACAUCUCUAAGCCACAGAACAUCUGACCAAAUAUGAUCCGGCUGACAAAGCCGAUCAACGAACCAAGUUACCCUAGGGAUAACAGCGCAAUCCUCUCCCAGAGUCCAUAUCGACGAGGGGGUUUACGACCUCGAUGUUGGAUCAGGACAUCCUAAUGGUGCAGCCGCUAUUAAGGGUUCGUUUGUUCAACGAUUAAAGUCCUACGUGAUCUGAGUUCAGACCGG